rnacentral:rRNA from 1 species
UGCUUGUUGGGGUUGUAGGACACUCUAUACGGAGUUACAAAAGAACAUGUUAGACGAAUCAUCUGGAAAGAUGAAUCAAAGAAGGUAAUAAUCCUGUAGUCGAAAACAUAUUCUCUCUUGAGUGGAUCCUGAGUACGACGGAGCACGUGAAAUUCCGUCGGAAUCUGGGAGGACCAUCUCCUAAGGCUAAAUACUCUCUAGUGACCGAUAGUGAACCAGUACCGGGAGGGAAAGGUGAAAAGUACCCCGGAAGGGGAGUGAAAGAGAACUUGAAACCGUGUGCUUACAAGUAGUCAGAGCCCGUUAAUGGGUGAUGGCGUGCCUUUUGUAGAAUGAACCGGCGAGUUACGAUCUGAUGCAAGGUUAAGCAGCAAAUGUGGAGCCGCAGCGAAAGCGAGUCUGAAUAGGGCGUUGAGUAUUUGGUCGUAGACCCGAAACCAGGUGAUCUACCCUUGGUCAGGUUGAAGUUCAGGUAACACUGAAUGGAGGACCGAACCGACUUACGUUGAAAAG